CCUUCCAAACAGUAAAAACAAACAAACAAACAGACCAAAUUUGUCAUUGUUGUUUCGAUUUGCUCUUUUUGUUUGUUUGCUUUUGCGUUUUGAGACAGGGUCUGGCUUGUAUAGCUCAUGC
rnacentral:miRNA from 1 species